CACCUAUGUCUAAAGCAAUUAUGGUCUAUUAAGAGGUGUAUAUAAAAAGAGCUGCAUUCUUGCUUCGGUUCCUAUUCGAAUUUUCGACUUGAUCAGUGUUACGUUUAUCGUUACUGCAAAACCCCAACCAAUAUACAGAUCUUAAACUAAGGCUUGAAUAUGUCGAAAAAAAUAAAUAUUUGGGGCUUCUGCUUGUUGGCUGCAUUGAUGUUGCAAUUUGUCGUGGGUUGCCUCACCGUUGCACCAUUACUGUCUUGUAAAAAAUUCGGAGGCGAAUGCAUCCCAGCCGACGACUGCGGGGGUGCACCGUAUUUAGACAAACUAAACGAUUGCUCUAUCCGAGGAAAUAAAUGCUGUUUUUAUGAAUGAAUAGAUUCGUAAUGUUAUGCUGCUUAGUAACAAGAAUAAAAAAAAAAAUAAAAAUAAAUAAAAUAAAUAAAUAAAUAUAUAUAUACAAUACCAA